rnacentral:lncRNA from 1 species
AGAUCCAUCCUUCCAGUAGUGGCAGUCUAGCAGUGCAAGAAGAGAGAGCCUUCCUGCUCACCUAGCUCAAUCAGCCUCCUCCUGUUGUUCAGGAGCAACCGAGAAAGCAAGCUCAAGAUGGAGUACAAGGUGAAGAGCCAUGACAGCAAGCACAAGGGGUCAGGGUCAGGAGGGCUGAGCAGGAUGCUGAGGCAGCACAAGGCCAGGCUCUAUAUCAUCCGCCGAUGCGUCGUCAUGCUCCUCUGCUCUUGAUCCCAUUCUUCUUUCUAGCUUAGGCUUGACAAAUUCUUUGGUGCGUGAGUACAUAACAUAGGGUAGUUUACAAGGUCCCGAUGGAUGUUGCUGCAAGUUUUGGUGUGGUAUGGUGCUCCUAAGUCCUGCAAUGGCAAGGUUGUACAUGUACUCAUGUGUCAGGUGUUGGAAUGUUACUUUCUGUGUUUGCUCUAUCAGCAAAAGUGAAUGAUCUCAAGAAUAAAAAAGGGUUCCCCUCGCAUUCCAUUUUAUCUACACAUCUCAGUCUGGUUUACUCGGAAAAUUGGCAGCAUUGUCACAUGUGUUUUCUUAGUACUUGCUUCUUGUUAGUUGGUAACUAAGAGCAUGUCUAGCCGAUGCCUUAGACACGGUUUUUGAAGAGCUAACCACACCUAGCUGAGCCCCUAUUCAGCUAAUUUUGAGGAGUUAUCCCAAAAAACUGCCCCCAACCCUUAUUUUUGAACGGUCGAUCGCACUUCUCAGGAAAAAUUUCCCCCUUCCAACUCCUGUCCACCGCACCUCUUCUUUCUAGUGUCGCUGCUGCUGCCAUCGGAGGUCCUGAUUUCUGCGGGAAUGGAGCCGUAGGACUCUCCGCAACAUCGUCGGCCACUUCCACCGGAGUCGACCCACGCGCCUGCGCUUAUGCCAAGGGAGCAACUCAGGAAAAAAGUCCAAUUCGAAUCUACCAUAUGUUUUCAACCAAAAAUCCAAAAUCCAAUUUUAAUUUUGUUUGCAUAUUUGCGUUCCUUGCAACGAGAACUUUGAAACAAGAUCGCUCUUGAACAUUUUGACAACUUCUAAAAUUUAAUAAGUUCUAAAUAUUAAAACUUGAUAGUUGUAAUAUUAUUUUUUUACAAAGUUUCAUUUUCUUUUGCGGUUUAGGAUUUAGGGCUUAGUGUUUAGGGUUUUGGGGUUAAGGCUUAGGACUUAGGGCUUAGGGUUUAAGUUUCAGUUUUUGAAACUUUAUGAAUUUAUCAUUCGUUCCUAUCAUGUUUUUGUAGUUGAAACUUGGUGAAGUUUUUAAAACUUGUCAACACGUAUUCAAAAGUGGACUUGUUUCAAACCUUGUCACUAGGAACACGAAUAUGGGAAUGAAAUAUGAACUAGAAUUUUGAUUCAAAAGAUAUAAUAUGGGAAUGCAUAUAGUGCAUUGAACCGAAUUGUUUCCAUAUUCAUGGGGAAAUAUGUAUAUAUCCUGAAACAUAUAGUAGACGUAUAACAGAUCCGCAAUUGCCAUCUUGAUACGUAUCCAAUUUCUCCCAAAGAGUGUUAAAUUUUUUUUCCAAAGAAAGAGACAGCACUAUGUAGCAAUGAUAAAAUACUCUCCUGUCCCCAAGUGAGCAUGAUUACAUCAUCCUAAUCGCACUCACACACACACACACAUAUCCUAGCUAGAAGUAGAACCAAUGCAUACUGUAUCAGGUAGUAGUUCGUUAGGGGAGCAACGGACAUAUAUAUCUUCUUCUCUGAACUGUAAACAAACACCGUCAGCUUGUCAGUCCAGCCAUGGCACGAGCCAAGCCAGAGGAGCAAGCGGCUAGCUGGGUUCAGAGAGAGGCACACGCUUGCCCCCUCGCGUUCCAUGUGAUCUCCCCGACCCCGAGGUCGUCGCCGUCCUGCCACCGACCAGUAAGUAAAUAAAUUAACCAACGACGGCAAUGAUACGGUAGGUUUUGGCGGCCUUUCCGUCGGCCGAAAGCGUAGCUUGCUUCAUCAGGGACAGAAACCGCGCAAGUGGCUGCUGAAUAUGGGUGUAUGACCCCGAUCGGGCAGCAUCGACCGGCAACAGAUGAAUGAAAAUUUACCCCCCGCCGCGGUUUCCUCCAAGAGGUUGUUUGGCAGUUCAUCACCAGAAGAAAAGAAGACAUCUUCUUCCCAGAAGCUCGAAAGGGUAGACCACUGAUUAAAGAAGACAGCUUGAUUAUCUAAAUGAAAACUGUAUAAACCCUUUUUUUGUUUAGGUUAUUAUUGUCUGCUUGCUUGCAGGGCCCGGAGUAUUAUCGGCUAACAGAGUGUUCGUCCUUUUCUCCGGUUGCACACAAUUUGCAUGUACGGGCUCAUGCACCUAACAACGAUCAUGGUAGCCGAACGAAAUGAUUAACGCGUGGAUACAAAAGCUGGAAUCUCCCAGCUUGGAAUUCUGCCGGAAACAUUAUCAGCACUUCAUCAUCAUGCCGUAUAAAACGAUUCCUCCAGUUUAAGUACGACAUAUGAAGACCUGAGCAUGUAUUAUACUCCGAGAUCCGACCGGACAGUUGCUCAACGAAAGGCGCCUAGCCUGGCCACCCACUCCCGGCCCCAUCCGUCCUCACUAAUCUGGAAUUAGGCGUGCUGAUCGCUGAUGGAGCCGACGGAUCCGCUGUCAGGAGCUACCCUUUUUGGCUGUCCACAAGGCGUUUGUCCCCUGGUGCUGCUGCGUCAUCGGAAUCCGUUGCAACUUGGGGCGAGGCUGCCGCUGCAUGUGCAUGUGGAGGAGGUGGCGGCCGCCCCCCAAUUCCUGCAGUUUUUUAUAAGCGCCAGUAGGCAGAGAUGUGAGGGUCAUGUGGGAGUGUGGUGGUCUCUUAGGUUUGUCCAUUUCCCUGCUAUAUAAGAGCUGCACACUUAUACUUGGCCGCAACCACAGCAGAGGCAGAUUCAAUAUCCAUCCAGUAGAGGCAGAGCAAGAGCAAGAGCAGAGCACAGCUUUCUUCCUUCACAACCACCUUCCUGUUGAGGCGUCCGGUUCUAGAUCAGGAUGGAGUACAAGGUGAAGAGCCAUGGCAGCAAGCGCCGGGGAGGAUCGGGAUCAGGGUCAGGAGGGCUGAGCAGGAUGCUGAGGGAGCACAAGGCCAGGCUCUACAUCAUCCGCCGAUGCGUCGUCAUGCUCCUCUGCUCUUGAUCCCAUUCCUCUUCUUCCUAGCUUAGGCUUGACAAAUUCUUUGGUGCGUGAGUACAUAACAUAGGGUAGUUUAGAAGGUCCCGAUGGAUGUUGCUGCAAGUUUUGGUGUGGUAUGGUGCUCCUAAGUCCUGCAAUGGCAAGGUUGUACAUGUGUCAGGUGUUGGAAUGUUAUUUUGUGUGUUUGCUCUAUCAGCACAAGCGAAUGAUCUCAAGAAUAAAAAGGUGUUACCCCUGGC